rnacentral:rRNA from 1 species
CUCUCUGAUUCAGCGGCGGACGGGUGAGUAAUGCCUAGGAAUCUGCCUGGUAGUGGGGGACAACGUUUCGAAAGGAACGCUAAUACCGCAUACGUCCUACGGGAGAAAGCAGGGGACCUUCGGGCCUUGCGCUAUCAGAUGAGCCUAGGUCGGAUUAGCUAGUUGGUGAGGUAAUGGCUCACCAAGGCGACGAUCCGUAACUGGUCUGAGAGGAUGAUCAGUCACACUGGAACUGAGACACGUUCCAGACUAAUACGGGAGGCAGCAGUGGGGAAUAUUGGACAAUGGGCGAAAGCCUGAUCCAGCCAUGCCGCGGUGUGUGAAGAAAGGGUUCUUCGGAAUUGUAAAGGGCACUUUUAAGUUGGGGAAGGGAAGGGUUGUUAAGAUUAAUACCUCCCUGCAAUUUUUUGGACGUUACCCCGACAGAAUAAGGCAACCCGGCUAACUUUCUGUGCCCAAGGCAGCCCGCGGGGUAAUACCAAGAGGGGGUGCAAGCGGGUUAAUCGGGAAAUUUACUGGGGGCGGUAAAGCGGGCGCGUAAGGGUGGUUUGGGUUAAGUUGGGAUUGGUGAAAAGCCCCCGGGGGCUCAACCCUGGGGAAACUUGGCAUUUCAAAAAACUGGACAAAGCCUAGAAAAGUAUGGGUAGAGGGGUGGGUGGGAAUUUUUCCCUGUGUAGCGGGUGAAAAUGCCGUAGAAUAUAGGGAAGGGAACACCCAGUGGGCGAAAGGCGGACCACCCUGGGACUGGAUACUUGACAACUGAGGGUGCGAAAAGCCGUGGGGGAGCAAAACAGGGAUUAAGAUACCCCUGGGUAGUCCCACGCCCGUAAAACGAAUGUCCAACCUAGCCCGUUUGGGGAGCCCUUUGAGCCUCUUUAGUGGGCCGCAGCUUAACGCCAUUAAAGUUUGACCGCCCUGGGGGAGUACGGGCCGCAAGGGUUAAAACUCAAAAUGAAUUUGACGGGGGGCCCGCACAAAGCGGGGGAACCAUGUGGGUUUAAUUUCGAAGCAACGCGGAAGAACCUUUACCAGGGCCUUGACAUCCAAUGAACUUUCCAGAAGAUGGAUUGGUGCCUUCGGGAACAUUGAGACAGGUGCUGCAUGGCUGUCGUCAGCUCGU